UACGUAGGGGGCAAGCGUUGUCCGGAUUUAUUGGGCGUAAAGAGCGUGUAGGCGGCCAGGUAGGUCCGUUGUGAAAACUGGAGGCUUAACCUCCAGCUGUCGAUGGAAACCAUCUGGCUAGAGUCCGGAAGAGGAGAGUGGAAUUCCUGGUGUAGCGGUGAAAUGCGUAGAUAUCGGAAGGAACACCAGUGGCGAAGGCGACUUCCUGGACUAAUACUGACACUGAGGUGCGAAAGCGUGGGGAGCAAACAGG
rnacentral:rRNA from 1 species